AUUGAACGCUGGCGGCAUGCUUUACACAUGCAAGUCGAACGGUAACAGGCCGCAAGGUGCUGACGAGUGGCGAACGGGUGAGUAAUGCAUCGGAACGUGCCCAGUCGUGGGGGAUAACGCAGCGAAAGCUGUGCUAAUACCGCAUACGAGCUAUGGAUGAAAGCGGGGGACCGUAAGGCCUCGCGCGAUUGGAGCGGCCGAUGUCAGAUUAGGUAGUUGGUGGGGUAAAGGCUCACCAAGCCAACGAUCUGUAGCUGGUCUGAGAGGACGACCAGCCACACUGGGACUGAGACACGGCCCAGACUCCUACGGGAGGCAGCAGUGGGGAAUUUUGGACAAUGGGCGCAAGCCUGAUCCAGCAAUGCCGCGUGCAGGAAGAAGGCCUUCGGGUUGUAAACUGCUUUUGUACAGAACGAAAAGGUUUGGGUUAAUACCCUGGGCCGAUGACGGUACCGUAAGAAUAAGCACCGGCUAACUACGUGCCAGCCGCCGCGGUAA
rnacentral:rRNA from 1 species